rnacentral:rRNA from 1 species
GAUGAACGCUGGCGGCGUGCUUAACACAUGCAAGUCGAACGAUGAAGCCGGAGCUUGCUCUGGUGGAUUAGUGGCGAACGGGUGAGUAACACGUGAGUAACCUGCCCUUGACUCUGGGAUAAGCGCUGGAAACGGCGUCUAAUACCGGAUACGAGCUCCCACCGCAUGGUGAGUUGCUGGAAAGAAUUUCGGUCAAGGAUGGACUCGCGGCCUAUCAGCCUGUUGGUGAGGUAACGGCUCACCAAGGCGACGACGGGUAGCCGGCCUGAGAGGGUGACCGGCCACACUGGGACUGAGACACGGCCCAGACUCCUACGGGAGGCAGCAGUGGGGAAUAUUGCACAAUGGGCGCAAGCCUGAUGCAGCAACGCCGCGUGAGGGACGAAGGCCUUCGGGUCGUAAACCUCUUUUAGCAGGGAAGAAGCGAAAGUGACGGUACCUGCAGAAAAAGCACCGGCUAACUACGUGCCAGCCGCCGCAGUAA